AGAGUUUGAUCCUGGCUCAGAACGAACGCUGGCGCAGGCUUAACACAUGCAAGUCUAACGGGUGCAGCAAUGCAUCAGUGGCAGACGGGUGAGUAACGCGUGGGAAUCUACCCAUCUCUACGGAACAACUCCGGGAAACUGGAGCUAAUACCGUAUACGUCCUUCGGGAGAAAGAUUUAUCGGAGAUGGAUGAGCCCGCGUUGGAUUAGCUAGUUGGUGGGGUAAUGGCCUACCAAGGCGACGAUCCAUAGCUGGUCUGAGAGGAUGAUCAGCCACAUUGGGACUGAGACACGGCCCAAACUCCUACGGGAGGCAGCAGUGGGGAAUAUUGGACAAUGGGCGAAAGCCUGAUCCAGCCAUGCCGCGUGAGUGAUGAAGGCCCUAGGGUUGUAAAGCUCUUUCAACGGUGAAGAUAAUGACGGUAACCGUAGAAGAAGCCCCGGCUAACUUCGUGCCAGCAGCCGCGGUAAUACGAAGGGGGCUAGCGUUGUUCGGAAUUACUGGGCGUAAAGCGCACGUAGGCGGAUAUUUAAGUCAGGGGUGAAAUCCCAGAGCUCAACUCUGGAACUGCCUUUGAUACUGGGUAUCUCGAGUCCGAGAGAGGUGAGUGGAAUUCCGAGUGUAGAGGUGAAAUUCGUAGAUAUUCGGAGGAAUACCAGUGGCGAAGGCGGCUCACUGGCUCGGUACUGACGCUGAGGUGCGAAAGCGUGGGGAGCAAACAGGAUUAGAUACCCUAGUAGUCC
rnacentral:rRNA from 1 species